UAACGAAUCUUCCGCAAUGCACGAAAGUGUGACGGAGCAAUACCGCGUGAAGGAUGAAGUUCUUCGGAAUGUAAACUUCAAAAGAGACAUGGAAAGUUCUGAUCCUGUCUCAGUAAGGGGCGACUAACUCUGUGCCAGCAGUCGCGGUAAUACAGAGGCCCCGAGCGUUAGGCGGAAUCACUGGGCUUAAAGCGUGUGUAGGUGGAUGACCAAGUACCUUGUGAAAUCCCACGGCUCAACCGUGGAACUGCUGGGUAUACUGGUUGUCUUGAGGCACUUAGGGGCAAGUGGAACUGACGGUGGAGCGGUGAAAUGCUUAGAUAUCGUCAGGAACGCCAAUGGUGAAGACAGCUUGCUGGGAGUGAACUGACACUGAGACACGAAAGCCAGGGUAGCGAACGGGAUUAGAUACCCCCGUAGUCC
rnacentral:rRNA from 1 species